rnacentral:lncRNA from 1 species
GACCUACCAGUCUGCCCUGCUCAUCCUUGAUCGGGAUGAGACUGAUACCCUGCGAAACGCAACAGAAUCAGCUCCUGGGAUUGUGUUAGCAGAAUGACGGGAGUGUGAGAUCCACCACAUGGCGAGGCACCCCAGGAACCUGUUUUCUUCUUGAAGAGCAACCGAGAACUAUUUCCAAGUUAUCCUUCACUUUGAGGACAACAUGGAGGUGUCUGAUUUCUGCUUGGGCUGAGGAUUCAGGAGAAGAUGUGUGGAACACAGCCUGGACACGCCCCAACCUGGUUGAUGAAUUCCACCCCAAGUAGUGGAAGAAACACACCUAGAACAUGAGCAGAGAAGAUUUUUCUUCUGUACUUUCCAGGACUUGAAGCUGCUUUGUUUUUUGGUUGCUGGGUGGGGAAGGAGGAACAAUAGUAUAGCUUCCAGAAGAGAGAAGAGAGUUAUCUCUUGAGUGUGAAUUAAGCAGUACCAAGAGGCCUCAAGCUAGCUCUCUCUCCUGCUUGAAAUUCUACUGUUAAGAGUUUUCCUUUAAGUUUAAAACCUUGAAAGCUCCAUGAUGCUCCUGAGUAGAACAAUAAAGCCAUUAGUAGUCAA